ACCCUCUGCCCUUAGCGGCUCUAAAGAUGAAAGGCCAUGGGGGUUCCUCGCCCUAGAGCCCAAGAGAGAGAGAGAACCCCCGGGGCCGCAAGAGGACGGACGGACAGACCAGCACCCCGGCGCUGAGGACCGAGCAAACCCCUCGGAGCAGGAGCCCAGCUGAGGAGGCGGGACCACACGCGACGGGCGCGCGGUCCGAUUGGCCGAGCGCCACUGAACCUGCUCGGUCCUUUGAUUGGUGUGAGCGGCGACGCGCCCUCUCGAAUGCCUCGCUCGGAUUGGCCUGCUUCUCGGCCCAGACCUGGACGGUGGCCAGAGGAGGACAAGAGACUUCUGUGCGGGAUGGAGGGACGACUCGGGAGGACGUCUGAGCUGCAGGUCUACAAGCGGCUGGGACCCAGGGGCGUGGCGGCCACCUCUGUGAUGUCUGUGCUGCAGGUGGCGCCUGAGCGGACCGGCGGCAGCGUGGCCCGAGCCCGAGAUCCAAAAGGUAACUCUAGCUCUUGAAUACUAUCUGGGAACAACUUGUCAUGCCUGCUUUGUGGAAUUGGUGUUCAAAAAUGAAAUGCAAAAAUGCAGACUGGCCAAGCACAUACUGGUUAUUGGUACUCCAGGGAGAACAGGAGAUGUUAAAUAGAGGAUAUCUUUGUUGUGCUGCUUUCUGCCUGAUGCCAGUCAAUCUGUUGCAAGUCAUCAGUUCAUGAGAUCCAUUUCAAAUUCUGGUGAAGAAGGAAGAAUUGACCCUUGAAAGGUUCAACAUUUUAUAAUAAUUUUGAAAGAGGGCAGGAGAUGUCCUCACAGACCCUGUACAGGCCCUGUCCUACUCAGACACACCACAGGCUGUGUUCUAAAACUGCUGAGUGUUCAUGCAAGGCCUGAGCUGAGAGGGAUGGGCUGGAAUCCUGACCUCCUUCCUGCCAGCCACAGGAUCUGGGCAAGUGACCCACCUUCUCUACACCACAGGCCAUUCCUGCCUGGAAGGGUGCAGUGAGGACUGACUGCAAUAACAAUUACGUGCAUGAAGGGCCGAGCUCGGCAAUCCUCGGGCUGGGUAGACGCCAUCACCCUCAUGCCACCUCGGCUGCAGAAAGUGCCUCUCACUGGUGAGCUGGCAGAGGCACCUUCAUGCUGCACCCCAUCAUCAUGGCUGCAGAAGGACCUGCUGUGUCACGUCUCUGUUAAUACAGCAUCGCCCCUUCACAUAAUGCACCAUCUCUGGCUGCCUCCUCCUGUGCUGCCAGCCAACCACUUCACCCAUAGUCCUUCUGGCUGGGCUUUCCUCCCCACACCUGCUCCUUGGUGGUCUCGUCCGCGGCCUUUAUCCCUGACUUAUUUUUCUAUAGAUUCUGAGCUCCACGCGUGAAUGUCUUCACUUACAUGUGUCACACAAGCCCUAAGCUUGACACAUCUGAAAUGCAUGAACCAAACACGUGUUUGUGAAACGCUGACUGGAUGGAACUUGACUGUCCCAAAGGCCAGAAUCCUCUUCUUCUCACCAGCGGGCCCAGCCCAGGGCGUUGCGUGUCAGUAACAGUUGGCACUGUGUCGCUGUGUAAAUUGUCUGCGGAUCUGUUCCCUAUUCUCUUGAGAGGCCUCAGACCUCGAGGGGGGAGCCCACGUCCACUCAUCUCCAGUUCCCACGAAGGAUCCCCCACAGGCUCUGCACAGAGUGGAUCCGCAUGUAUUGACCGUUGGUUGAGUUGAAUGUGCUGAACGCUCCCCACAUCCAUCACAUAUUCAAACUUUCUUUCCAGGAAGCCCCGUCCGCAGGACAAUGGCCCCAGUGUGCUCCUCCCUGAUGCCAACAGGCCCCAGAGCCGACACUGAGGCAUUCGCUCCCCCACAGUCUUGCCUCUGCUCCUGUGGUUUGGCACAUUCCACAUCCUCCCUCCAUUCCAGGGCUUGGCCGCUGGAUGAAGACACACGAGGUACACCUGGAACGGGAAGAUGCCGGGAGCCCAGGACACAGAGGCACUCACCGCAGGCCAUUCUCAGAACCCACUGUCUCCUUUUCUCUUCUCCUCUGCACGGGGCAGGGGCCUGCUGCACCCAUCAUCUCCUCCAUCACACACAGGGCCUCUCUAUGUGCCCAUCUAACCUCAGCAGGGGCCCCACACGGACAGGGGCAGCCUCAGAGAGGCAGGUCCUGGAGGCUGGGACCCUCCUUGGUCCAGUAGAGCUGUGCUGUGGAUGGGGUGGCCUCGCUGGGGGAGGGGUGGGGAGAGAGGACUGGGGUGGAGUGAGGUGGCACAGGUCUCCCUCCAGGCUGCAAAUGCCCAGACAGCCCCAGUGGCAGUGGCCUGGGCCCACUGCCUGACAGUGGUUCUGCCAGCAUUUCUCUCCCCUCCCCACCUGCAGAUCAGACACACACCUCACACUCCCAGGGCCGUCAGGGUUCUGGGAAAGUUUCCGGGGGCUGCCUCUAACUCCAUCUCCUGCCUCCUACUCAGGAGGGCACGUCCAACUUGAGUGAAUGAUGACAUCUGUGUAGGGACAAUCUUGAAUGUUGUCUGACUAAUGCUUAUAUUUUAAAAGACAAUUGGGCCCGGCCAGCAUGGCUCGGUGGUUGAGCGUU